GACGAACGCUGGCGGCGUGCUUAACACAUGCAAGUCGAGCGGUAAGGCUCCUUCGGGAGUACACGAGCGGCGAACGGGUGAGUAACACGUGAGUAAUCUGCCCUUCACUUCGGGAUAACCACCGGAAACGGUGGCUAAUACCGAAUACGACCAGUCUUCGCAUGAGGUGCUGGUGGAAAGUCUUUUCGGUGAAGGAUGUGCUCGCGGCCUAUCAGCCUGUUGGUGGGGUAAUGGCCUACCAAGGCUUCGACGGGUAGCCGGCCUGAGAGGGUGACCGGCCACACUGGGACUGAGACACGGCCCAGACUCCUACGGGAGGCAGCAGUGGGGAAUAUUGGACAAUGGGCGAAAGCCUGAUCCAGCAACGCCGCGUGAGGGAUGACGGCCUUCGGGUUGUAAACCUCUUUCAGUACCGACGAAGCGCCCUGUCGGGUGGUGACGGUAGGUACAGAAGAAGGACCGGCCAACUACGUG
rnacentral:rRNA from 1 species